AGUCUCUCUCUGCAGGAGAAGGAGCCGGAGGGUCAGCUCCCGUGGGCCAAGGUGCACACGGCCAGAGCCCAGGGCUGGGCAGUUUGGGGUGAGGGGAGUAAUAAAGGCUGAAGCAGAUGUGUCUCUGCCCUCCUGGAGCACACCCUGAAAGCAGGGGAAUAAGAACCAGGAAGCAGAGGGAAUGCUCAUUUAAGUGGCAGGAAGUUUCUGGCAUGCUUGGAGUCAAGCAGAGAGUGCAGGCAGGGAGACUUCACAGAGGAGGAGAAUCGAGAGACUGACGGACUGAUGGGUGAGGACAGAGCGGGCUUUCUGGGGGCAGGAAGGAGGAAGGGCGAGGAAAAUGGCCUCUGCAAGGAUGAAGGUGGCAGUGAGCGGUUUGCUUGCUGUGGGAUGGCCAAGUAGAUGGGACAUGGCUGGAGGUGGGGCUGAGAAGUAGGAACCCGGGAAUCUGGGCCCAUGGAGGAAGAUGACACAGUCACGGCGUGGACGAGAAGGGCAAAGGCUGUCCUGUUAGUGAGAUCUUUGCACUUUCAGAGCUGCUGGAUGUUGAGGUCUCUUUGGACCUGGGGAACCUAGGAGGAGGGGGUCCUGGGGUCUGGAGCAGCAGGGUGGUGAGGACCUUCAUAAGCGGCAGGAGGAGGGGAGGGGAGAGCCAGAAAUGUAGGCCCGGAGGGGACCGGCGUGGGGCCAAGUGGAAGUCGGAGGCCUCGCUCCUGCUCUGGCUCAGAACUGGCGCCGUGCUCGGGGGCCUGGGAGGCUGGGACGUUACUCAGCUCUGGACUGAGAGAGGCCGACAGCUGGCUGAGACCGGGACAGUUAUAUAUAGGAGUGGCUUGGUGACAGUCUAUACUUAGCUGGCUUUUGACCUUUAGAGAAGUAAGACUUCGUUGAUGUAUUUGUUGAUCCUUAAUUCCACCCGUCCAGCCUCAUAAAAUGAAAUAUUAGCCGGGUGUGGCAGUGUGCACCUAUUGUCCUAGCAAUGGGGAGUCUGAGAAGGGAGGAUGGCUUGAACCCAGGAGUUGGAGGCUGCAGUGAGCCCUGAUUGUGCCACUGCACUCCAGCCUGGGUGACAGAGUGAGACCUUGUUUCUAAAAAUAAAUAAAUAAACAAACCUUGGUACAGAUUUACUUUGACCUUUCCUUUUUUUUUUUGAGACGGAGUCUCACUCUGUCGCCAGGCUGGAGUGCAGUGGCAUGAUCUUGGCUCACUGCAACCCUCUCCUCCCAGGUUCAAAUGGUUCUCCUGCCUCAGCCUCUUGAGUAGCUGGGACUAAAGGCAUGCAGCACCACGCCCAGGAUGGUCUUGAUCUCUUGAGCUCGUGAUCCACCCACCUCAGCCUCCCAAAGACCUUACUUUCUUCUUCCUCUUUCCAA
rnacentral:lncRNA from 1 species